ACACCUUAAUUAGAAGCCACUCACACAUUAAGUGGGUGUGUUCUGGACUUAACACAAUCAUCUAUACCUCGAUCUGUACAUAUUGUAUCAUGUAUGAUACUGACUGACACAAUGGAGCGAGCAAUGGAGGCUAAAGGAGGUUCUAACACACCAUAGAUACUACAUCUGUAAACAUACACGCUGGUGCAAAGUGGCUGAGACUAGGGUACUCAGUACUGGAACUGUAUUUGAAAAAUCUGGCCCCCAUAGAACAGGAGAGACCUCUGCUUGAGGACCAAUCCUAAAGCCUACACUGAAGAGGACAGCUGAUCAAUUCAUUAUGAGACAUCAUGCUAGGGCUCAGUACUAUACGUAAACACACUGAUACAGAAAACCCACUCCUUCAGCCUUAGUACUAAACAAUCUCAACAGACACUUGAUAUCACAUGAUCUUCAAAAAGUAUUGAAUUUACUGUGAGAUGCUCAUUUCAACAGAAACUGGGAGGGACUGGGUCUAGAACUAGGACUGUAUCAGCAACCAGCACUCUCCAACUUACAACAUACUCAUUAUAGGGGGGCUGCUCUUAGGGAGUGUCUUGCUGCCUGGUGAUGGUGUGUGGAUAAAAAUGGAGAAGCUAACUAUAUGCAAAUACUGUAAAGAGAUUGGGACAAAGAGCUAUAGAACAUUUGACAUUAAUUUUGAAACAAUGUAGAAUUGAAACAGCACUGCAGCACUAGAGGAGGCUCCUCCCAUUGGUAUGUAUAUACUAGAAAGAAUAUAAAACAUUGAGGCCUCCACCUCCUGACUUCACCACCCAGUCACACCCAAAUGUAUGUACAUACAGACAAAUUCUUAGAUUGGAGUGAAGACUUCAUUGACUCCAUUACAUGAAGAUAGUUACAUUACAGAAGAAAAAGAGCUUGAAGGAAUCAAGGAAAGAAGAUGAAGAUGAAGGAAGAAUUUUGCGUUUAUGAGUCCUUGAGUGAGUUUCACAACAAAAAGGCCGGAAGAUUACUUUUUUACAUUCUGUUUGUUGCCAGCCUCCUUCAACUGAUGAAAUGAAGUCAAGUCAUCAAUCCAAGCACUUUAGAAUCUUAAAAGUUAGAUGGUGAUGAGUAGGAGUGUCUCAGUGGAAGGAGUCUGUGCAUUGAUCCAGAGUAUAAUGUACUGUGGAGAUUUGAUGAGAACAGUUUUAAAAUAAGUUGUUAUAAUUCUGUUGCAGCUGAAGUUAAAGAUUUAGAGGGUACUUAAUGUACAUGUAUGUCUCCCUCAGUCUAAAGGUUCUGUCAUCACAAUUAGGUUCCAUGCUUCAAUCAAUCUCUUAUCAUCAUUACAGACUCUCCACUAAUCCUCUUUUAUCAUUGCAAGCUUUCUCUGUUGACAACUGUCACAUUGUCUCAAGAUUUAAUUCUCAUGGUGGUGGGUGGGGUUACAAUGCUGGAUUGAUAGAAGCAAUAUUGUUCAGUUCUGAUUGAGGCAUACUCUUUGGUGGGUUUGUCUAUAUGGAUGGCUUGGUCAAUACAAGUUUAAUGUCAAAGUAAGUUACGUGUACAUGCAUAUUAUGUACAUGUACUUUGAUUUAAAAUGGUCUUAGUUAUUGUGGGUGCUUAAAUGUGAUGGGUUCUCUAAGAAGGGAACUGCUAUACAUAUACAUAUGGUAUUGCAUGUAUCAAUAUUAUUAUUAUUAUUAUUAUAACAAUGACGACAACAAUAAAACCAACAAAAAA